rnacentral:rRNA from 1 species
CCUACGGGUGGCAGCAGGGAGGAAUAUUGGGCAAUGGGCGAGAGCCGGAACCAGCCAAGGCGCGUGAAGGAUGAAGGAGCUAUGGUUUGUAAACUUCUUUUAUAGGGGAAUAAAGUGAGGAACGUGUGCCUUUUUGUAUGUACCAUAUGAAUAAGCAUCGGCUAACUCCGUGCCAGCAGCCGCGGUAAUACGGAGGAUGCGAGCGUUAUCCGGAUUUAUUGGGUUUAAAGGGUGCGUAGGUGGUUAAUUAAGUCAGCGGUGAAAGUUUGUGGCUCAACCAUAAAAUUGCCGUUGAAACUGGUUGCCUUGAGUCUAUUUGAGGUAGGCGGACUGCGUGGUGUAGCGGUGACAUGCCU